rnacentral:rRNA from 1 species
UAGUCCACGCCGUAAACGAUGAGAACUAGCCGUUGGGCUCCUUGAGGGCUUAGUGGCGCAGCUAACGCGAUAAGUUCUCCGCCUGGGGAGUACGGCCGUAAGGUUAAAACUCAAAUGAAUUGACGGGGGCCCGCACAAGCGGUGGAGCAUGUUGUUUAAUUCGAUGCAACGCGAAGAACCUUACCACCCCUUGACAUCCUCGGAACUUGGCAGAGAUGCCUUGGUGCCUUCGGGAACCGAGUGACAGGUGCUGCAUGGCUGUCGUCAGCUCGUGUCGUGAGAUGUUGGGUUAAGUCCCGUAACGAGCGCAACCCUUGUCCUUAUUUGCCAGCGGGUAAUGCCGGGAACUCUAAGGAGACUGCCGGUGACAAACCGGAGGAAGGUGGGACGACGUCAAGUCAUCAUGGCCCUCACGGGUGGGCUACAAACGUGCUACAAUGGGGGUACAAAGGGCUGCAAACCCGCGAGGGUGAGCGAAUCCCAAAAAACCUCUCGUAGUCCGGAAUGGAGUCUGCAACUCGACUCCA